UGUUUUGCAUGAACAGAAAUUCCACUGUAAAAAUUUUGAUUAUAGAAAGCCAUUAAUAAUAGAAACUAAAAUAUUGGUUUCAGGCAGAGUAGUUUUGACUGGCCAGUUACAAAAUACUUAUAGAACCAGGCUCCCUCAUGGUCUAUUCUUAUACAAGUUUUCUAAGAAAAAACCAAAUCCAUCAUUUGAACCUUAUGUUCAUCUGGUUGGAGUAUUAUAGCCAAACCUUAGCAAUGUGUGAGUUACAACAGUGUACUGUAUUCUGUCUUUAUCUCAAGCAUAUAGAAAGACCAGGUGACCAGCUCCUUUCUUGACUUCUAAAUUUUAAGCAAACUAUUUCUCAUAUUUCACAUUGGUAUGGAACCCUGAAAUAAAACAAAUGUCUAAAAAUAACCUUCAACUUAACUAAAUCAUUAUGAUAUGUAUCCUCUCUUUUUAGUAAAUAGGUAAUAAUCCAAACUUCUAUUUUCUACCUGAGCACAGAGUUAGAUUUUCCCACAAUGACCUGCUGUUUAUGAUUUUCUUACUUUGUGAACUAGAAUAAGGCCCUCCCUGUGGAGUGACUGCCCAUAGAUGUGCAUAAUGUACUCCAAAAAAAGCAUGGAAUUUAAAAUGAUUCUGCUUUAUUUAUUUAUUUAUUUAUUUACCUAUUUAUCUAUUUAUGUCUUUCUGUGCCUAUUUAUGGGACAAGGAAGCAUAAUUUAAUAGAAAGGUAAAGCCCCAGAGAAAUAGAAACAUAGAUUGUCAUUCUAUCACGACAAGUAUUACUGACCUGGGACCAUCCAUUAUUUUGGAUUAUGCACUCCAUUGGUUCUCACUACUUGUAAGGAUAAUAGAGAGUCAGUUACAAUUUCAGCAGAACCAUUCAGAAACUGACGUUAGUUCUAGUCUACGUGGAGCAGAAGAAAUGCACUGUUCAAUAUGGCAGAGAGAGGGGAAAAGGGGUUACGAGACUCAUUUGAUUUCCUUCAGUUUAUGACCUGUCUGAUAGCACCAGAUGGUUGUUGAGAAGUAUGCUAUGACUAAAAUAAGUUGAUUAGCACCAGAGUCAUGCUGAUAAAGUGAGGUUAAGUCACAUAGUGCAACUUUAAUGCCAGCUUUUUUUCCCUAUAGUGUGUUUUUAUUUUCACAUAAUAAAAAAAAAAGUUGAAAAUAUGGAUAGUAAAAAGAAGUACUGAUAGAGUUGAGGAUUACGUCUGUAAUUGAUAACAGAAUAAUGGUGGGGAAGUGCAUCAGAGGAAGGAGAGUUGGUGUUCUAAUUGUGUGAAGCUGGUGUUUUAUGAAAUAAAGAAUUCCCAGAGACAGGAUUAAAUGAAAGAAAAGUUAAAUUUUUUACCCUUGACCAACUCACACAGUGAAGAAUUGUAAGAGGGAGGAUACGUGUUUCCCAUCAUCCUCUGGCUGUUGUUUAUCUCAUCUCAAAGUCUCUAUAGCACCUGCAACUGAAACCUAUAAUUGGGCCUAAAACUAUUUCACCAUUUUUAUUCUUCCUUCAUUUUCUCCUAUAAUAUGACAUUUUAAUCUUGUUCACCAAGAUGUAGGACACAGGUGGCCUCAAGCUUUUAACUGCCUUUUAUAUUUUUUCCUGACAUCUAAUGUGAUGUAGAAACAAAUUUGUUCAUUGAACAAAGAGUCGGUUAUGAAGUCUCACUUUGUUAGGCAUAGAAUAAGGAAAUACAGCUGAAAAAAUAUUUAUUUAUUUAUUUAUUUAUUUGUUUGUUUAUGUAAAAAAAACUGUAUCACACAUUGAUUUAAGCCUCUACUACAGGAAAAAUUGAGCUUGUAACAUCUUCCCAAUGUGGUCGGUCCAGGCAGAUAAAAAAAUAAUUUACUCCAGUUCAUAUUGCCACUUGAUGACCAUAAUUUCCAUAUACUAAUGUCCCUCAGUGGUUCCCCAAGAUUGGCACAAGACACUUCCACUGUCAAAUCAGUUUAUUUAAUUUCCUUCUAUAACUAUAACUACUCCCCCUGGUAGAAGAAUGCCUUUGAAGAGUAUUAUGGAAAUUUCCCUCUUUGUUGUGCUUUCUGACUGUAGUAAGACAUAAAAUUUUUCUCCAGUAUGCCACUUCCCAUCAUGGUGUGCUUCCAUUCACAGUCUCAAAAGCAAUAGUCUAACUGUCCAUGGACUGAAACCUCUGAGAACACAAGCUAAAUAAAACUUUUCUCUUUGAAAAUUGGUUCUUUUGAUCAUUUGUGCAAUAAUGGGAAACAAACUGCUAUCCUGAAUGAGAGCUUCAUCGAUAAUUAAUUUCUCCAUAUUCUAGAUCAAAACUCUUGCAAGCUGGCUACCUAGCAUCUACCUUAUCUUUAAGUUAUUCAGGUUGUUGCAUAAUAGACCACUUUGUCUUCAACACAUACUUAGUGACUCUUGCUCUGUGGCAAGCUAAUGCCAGCUAUAUAUGAAAGAAGUAAACAAAAAUAGUCUUUAUUAUUAUAAGGGUUAAAACUUAUGCAAGGAAUAUGGUAAAAUGUCAAUUAAGUUUAAUAAAAAGUUGGGAAAGGUACUAUGAAGGAAAGUUAACAGAUUCUAAAAGAAUUAUGGAAACUAUCUGGUUAUGCCUGACAUAUUUCAAGCAGUUGUAGAAUGGGAAAUGUGGGAUUCCCCAAAAGUAACUUGAAGGUGGUUUCCAGAAGCCUGUUAAUUAUCUUAUUUUAAUUCAUGCAUGUGUGUGUGUCCCUGUGCAUAUGCAUGUUUAUAUGUCUGUCUGUGUCACAGAACCUACAGCCAAAUAAAUGUUCAAUUGU
rnacentral:lncRNA from 1 species